UAUGUAACCAAUCCAAAAUAAUGAAUAAUUUAAUUAUUACUUAAAGUUUACUAUCAUUCUGUUUGAAGGUAAAACAAAAAUCAGUAAAAAAUAUCAUAAGUUCAACACUUGAAAGUUGUUUAGAACUGUUUCAAAGGAAGUAGAAUGCAAUAAACAAUGAACCAUUUAUAGUUAUAAAUUUUGACAAAAAAGAACCUCCAAAGAUCUACUUAUACGCAAAGAUCAAUAAUAUACACAUAAAAAUUUGUUCUUCGUAUCUGUUGCAUGUAUCAAGUCCUUGUCCUCCAUCUGUUCAUGUUCACAGCCUGCUGAAGUUUUCUUUUUCAUGCAGCUGAUUAAGCUAAGUCAAACAUGAUCCGAUUAUCUGAUGAUCCAACCUUUUUUGGUUUUCUGCCACUGUUUUAACGAUUGACUUGGAGUUGAAUGAAUUUUGGAAUUAGUGUUUAUGAUUUGUGUGAUAAAAUAUGUAUACAUAUGUAUAUAUAUAUAUAUAUAUAUAUAUAUGGCAACCAUUUACUAGCUCUCACCCUUUGCACUCGCGUCAAAGUUUGAUUUCGAGUGUUUAUGCUAAUGAAUUCAAUAUGCAGACCCACUAGCAAUCCAGCACGAAUGGAUUAAUUUUUGGAGGUUAUUCAUACGCCCAACUGCAGUUUCUGAAUAUAAUUCAGUAUUAAUAAAAACAUGGUUACAUACCUGCGCUAGAAACAACACCCACAGAAGCCAAUGUUGUUUUCGAUCUUGGUAGUAAGUGUUGUCUAUGAAGUGAAAUUUUGUCUUGAU
rnacentral:lncRNA from 1 species